GUGAGUGGAGUUGCUUUGCCUUGGAUGACAGGCGCGAGAAAAGUUGGAACGGUGUAAACUCUUUACAUGCAGCGUCGCUCCUCAAAAACAUAUGCUCUCCAUCGAGCUUCUAGUUUUCGGAGUUGAGACUGGGGAAAGUUGAGAUGGGAGCUGUGUUGGUCGGUGUAUUUUCCGCAAAAGAGGUAUCACUUUUUAAAAGUAUAAUCUCUUCAAACCUUUUUAACUUUUGGAGUUGAGACGGGACAUUCAAGCUGAAAUGGGAAUUAGCAUUCGAUUGGUCCUGAUAUUCAAAGCUUGUUUCGUACGUCCAUUCAAAUCAGGUCCACCACUUGGGUAGACCUUAGGAACUUCCAAAGUGCAAUGGAAGUUGCUUCCCUAGGCCAUGGGCCUCAAUGAUCACCCAUUGACCCCAUCCAGGUAAGUAUGUUGUCAAGUAGGCAGUGCAUCUCUAUUUAUACCUUUGUCAGAAUUCUUUUCUUUUACUCCGUCGAUGAGGGAAGCUUUGCGAGCAAAUCACUUAAUAAUAAUAAUAUAUUAUAAUAACAAUACCAUUUGCAUCUUAUUGACACCUGUUUGUUGAAAAAUUUUCAGUUAUCUGUCCAAAAUGCAAAGCAUUGAAUAUCUAAAUGUUUGAACUAAUUUCUUUCAUCAUUGGUCAAAUGUUUACAGUU